rnacentral:rRNA from 1 species
AAUGGGCGGAAGCCUGAUCCAGCCAUGCCGCGUGAAGGAAGAAGGCGCUCAGCGUUGUAAACUUCUUUUGAAUGGGAACAAUAACCUCCACGAGUUGGGGGCUUGAGGGUACCAUUAGAAUAAGCACCGGCUAACUCCGUGCCAGCAGCCGCGGUAAUACGGAGGGUGCAAGCGUUAUCCGGAAUCACUGGGUUUAAAGGGUGCGUAGGCGGUUCGGUAAGUCAGUUGUGAAAUCUCUUGGCUUAACCAAUGAAAUUGCGAUUGAUACUGUCGGACUUGAAUCAGGUUGAGGUAGGCGGAAUGUGGCAUGUAGCGGUGAAAUGCAUAGAUAUGCCAUAGAACACCGAUUGCGAAGGCAGCUUGCUGGACCUGAAUUGACGCUGAGGCACGAAAGCGUGGGGAGCAAA